ACCAAAUAUGGUGGAUAAGUGUAACGUUGGUGAUGCGUCUUCAUUAUUGAAGUAAGAACUUAAAUGUUAAGCACUAAUCAAAGUUUUGUGAAAGCGCACCUAUUAUGGUUUUAAAACGUGUCUAAUUUUGUUUUAAAACGCUCAAACAAUAGAUUUACAUGCAUCCGAGGUCAAAAAACACUUUAACGUGCUCAUAAUUUAAACUGCAGCAUUACCUUUUUUCCCCCAGUGUCACAAACGACUCGUUAAAUGAUCCGUUCUAAAGGAUCGUUCUAAACUCCUCCUUUCAGAGAGCAUACUCUGCUCUGAUUGGUCAGACGUCCCAGUCUGUUGUGAUUGGUCUACCGCUGUCAGCGUGUUUCAAAAUGGAAAUGCCCACUACCAUAACGAGUUUCAGCUCCGUCUGUCAGCGAGCAGCAGAUGAAGACCAGAGGCAGGGCUUUUUGUUAUGAACUUACGUAGAGCAAGAGAAGAAAAGAAAUGCCAAAGAGACAUCAAGAGCUGAAGCUUUACAAAGCAACAACAAAAAAAAGGGCUGCCGUUUUCCUGUGCAAUUCGAACAACGAGGACAGAAGUGCGGUUGAAGCUAUCAUAUCUGUGUUCUGCCGUGAGUUCAUUCAGAGGUUACGUCUUUCUCAGGGGAGGAGACUGUCCUUGAACACGAGAAAGUGUCAUCUAGAGAAGACAAGAGGGAAAGAAAGUGUCUCAGGCAAUUGGAUAGAAUAAUAUUUGGGAAGUGCACACCUUUAAUGGAAGCCCAACGUAUCAAGCAAAGCCUCUUUCAGUUGUUGUUUGUUUUGGGGUGUUUCUCCCUUCAGUCUCCUCUAGAGGAGGUCAAAUGCUCCUCAACUGGGUUAAGGGCUGGUGAUUGACUUGGCCAGUCUAAAACCUUCCACUUUUUUCCACAUGAUCAAGUCGUUUGUUGAGUUGGCAGCAUGUUUUGAAUCAUUGUCUUCAAUCAAGUGGGUUUUUGUCGUCAUUACUCUAUACAGCUCACAUACAUUGGAACAAAAUGUCGUUUCUUCGGGACCAUGGUGCAAUACAGAACAGUACACAAGACUACAUCUUGCUUCAUGAUGAAGUUCCUCCUGAUUAAUUUAAUUAAUUUCUAUGUAAAUUGACAGACAAAAUGUUCCUGUAACCUCUUGAAACCAUUCUGCUGCUCCCAUCAUGAGUUCCGUCAUCAAUAAAGAUCAGUAAGAAUGUUCCAGAAGCAGCCAUGCAAGCCCAAGCCAUGACACUACCUCCACCAUGCUUGACUGAUGAGAUUCUAUGUUUUCUUCCUCCAUAAUUUGGCCUUUCCUUCACAUGGGUAGAGGUUAAUCUUGGUUUCAGAACAUUUGCGGCUCAUCUCUCACCCAAAUGCCUUCAAUGUAUAGUGAAAAUAAUAGACUCUGCCUUGGCGUUCCGAUAAUGUAAGAAAUCAGAAAUCAGAAUUCCGGUUUGGCCUUUACCUUAACACCAACACACAACUGUUCAUUUUAGUUUUUACCCUGUGUUCACACUUGCAAGCGACAAAGCGACUGAGAAAGCAGAGAUUUUCUAAAGUCUAUGCAAAUUAGAUACGACUAUGAGUAAAGCGACAAAUUCUAACAAUUGGCUCGAAUGAUUUCAUCGGAUCAUUCCUAUAGCAUGUGUGGUCUGACAUUGCUACAGUUGCCCAUGCACAACAUCAGUUCCUACCUGAAAUUCAUUCCUUUUUACUGAUUGACACACAAAAAUGGAAAAAUAACUGAGGAUUCAUCUUAUCCUAUCGUAUAGAUCUGGCUUUAAAUGUCUAUUGAAGACAAAUAAAUCUUGGAAGGAAGUAUCAGUGAUCGUUGGUGCCUCUAGAGAAUGUAUCUAGCUAGCAUAGUCAACCUGCUAAUCUGCUAACAAAGUGAAUACCAAGCAUAGCACAUAACAUAAGUCAUAAACAACCAAUUUUCACUUAAUUUUUCAACCAAUUUAUAUAACUUAUUGGCAGUGGUAGCUUUAAGGGGUAAGGCUCUGGGUUACUGAUCAGAAGAUCGGGGGUUCAAGCCCCAGCACCGGCAAGCUGCCACUCUUGGGCCCUUGAGAAAGGCCCUUAACCCUCCCUGCUCCAGUUGUGCUGUAUCAUGUCUGACCCUGCACUCUAACCCCGACUUCCUAACAAGCCAGGAUAUGCGAAGAAAAUAAUUUCACUGUGCUGUAAUGUAUACAACACCAAUAAAGAUGUCUUCUUCUAAUUUAGUGUCUCUGGUAAGUCAAUGUAGCUAGUACAGCUAGCUUGCAAGGCUAAUCUGCUAGCAAAGCUAAUACAACGCCUAGCGUGUAGCAUGUACAUCAAAUAAAACAAUUUUCAAACUGGUGUCACUUUACUAACAUACUAGAAUACAUUUAAAAUAAUUUGAAGCAAAAGUAAAUCAUAUUCUGUAGUAAAUCUUGUGCUGUAGGCUUUACAUUUGAGCUACAACCAUUUCUCAUCAAAGCUAC